GGGCUGGGUCUCACAUAGAAAGGGGACAGUCUGCAGCACCUUCUUCCUGGCCAAGCCCUUUCUCCCUAGGAGGACAGCGGUUCCUCCUUUAGUGAUGCUUGGCCCUGCCCCACUCAGUCUCCACACUGCAGCCGGAGGGUUAUUCCUGACACAAGUCCACCGUGGCCUUCUGCUGGCUUCAAAGUUGUGCCCUGAUGUCUGGUCAUAGCCAAAAGAGCCCUGAAUGACCAGCCCCUGCCUGCCGGCCACUUCUUCCUCGUGCUCAACAUGCUCCUGAUAUUUUAGGUCACCUUCAUCUUCACAUGAGCCAAGUUCCUCCUGGGGGCAGACUUCGCCCGUUUUUUCUCUCGCUCUUCCCCUGCAGCUCUCCUAAGUGAAUCCACCGAGCCCUUCUCUGUGGCUGCAGCCUACCGGCUACGUCUUCAGAGAGGUCACCCUGACGGCGCUUCCUGAACAACACUCUCAACCACCAUUCUCUGCUUAUUUGCUCAGCAAUUUGUUUUUCUUCUUUUCACACCACAACUAAUAAUUACUUGAUGUAUUACUCCAAACUGCUUCAUGGAAAUAACACGCUGUGUUCGGCUAUUUGGACUACGUGGGCUGAUGCAGAAAAGAUGACAUUGGAAUAAAGAUCUGAAGGAAGUAAGGAAGACCUGCCGAAGAGAGGGAAUAGAAUGGAGGAAGGCUUUGAAGAGCAGUGAGGAGACCAGAACUGGGGAGAGGAGUGAAGAGAGUAGCUAGCACCGGAGUGGGAGAGAAGAAAAAGGGAAGUCAGAAUAGUUUUGAUGUCUUUGUCUUUGAAAAACUGCAAUAAAUCCAAGGCUGAGGAUAGAGCGGCGAUCAGAAAUUAUAUGGAUUCCUCUAAGCCAAGCUAUAUAUCAUCGACACAAUCCA